GCAGUCGAACGAGAAAGUUCCCUUCGGGGAAUGAGUACAGUGGCGAACGGGUGAGUAACGCGUGGGAAACCUGCCCUUCAAUGGGGGAUAACAGUUCUAACGAGCUGCUAAUACCGCAUACGACCGUUGAUCCGCAUGGUUUGACGGAGAAAGGUGGCCUCUCUUUGAAGCUGCCGUUGAAGGAUGGUCCCGCGUCCCAUUAGCUUGUUGGUGGGGUAACGGCCUACCAAGGCGACGAUGGGUAGCCGGCCUGAGAGGGUGUCCGGCCACACUGGGACUGAGAUACGGCCCAGACUCCUACGGGAGGCAGCAGUCGAGAAGCUUCGGCAAUGGGCGAAAGCCUGACCGAGCGAUGCCGCGUGAGCGAAGAAGGCCCUAUGGGUUGUAAAGCUCUGUCAGAUUGGGAAGAAAGCUCCGGGGUUAAUACCCUCGGAGUGUGACGGUACCAUCAGAGGAAGCACCGGCUAACUCCGUGCCAGCAGCCGCGGUAAUACGGAGGGUGCAAGCGUUGUUCGGAUUCACUGGGUAUAAAGGGUGCGCAGGCGGCCGUGUAAGUCAGAGGUGAAAUAUGACGGCUCAACCGUCAAACUGCCUCUGAGACUGCUCGGCUUGAGUCCGGGAGAGGAAGGUGGAAUUCCUGGUGUAGCGGUGAAAUGCGUAAAUAUCAGGAGGAACACCGGUGGCGAAGGCGGCCUUCUGGCCCGGUACUGACGCUCAUGCACGAAAGCCAGGGGAGCGAACGGGAUUAGAUACCCCGGUAGUCCUGGCCGUAAACGAUGGGCACUAGGUGUUGGAAGGAGUCUACCCCUUCAGUGCCGCAGCUAAUGCAUUAAGUGCCC
rnacentral:rRNA from 1 species